rnacentral:rRNA from 1 species
UGCAACCGCGAAUGGCGUAUAAUAACAGCUAUAAUUUACUUGAUCUUGACACAAUCCUACUUGGAUAACUGUGGUAAUUCUAGAGCUAAUACAUGCAUUAAAGCUCUGACCUCACGGGAAGAGUGCAUUUAUUAGAACAAAACCAAGCGGCUUCGGCUGUUUCUGGUUGACUCAUAGUAACUGAGCUGAUCGCAUGGUCUUGCACCGGCGACGUGUCUUUCAAGUAUCUGCCGUAUCAACUUUCGAUGGUAGUGUAUCUGACUACCAUGGUGAUCACGCGUAACGGAGAAUAAGGGUUCGGCUCCGGAGAGUUCGCCUGAGAAAUCGCGAACACAUCUAAGGAAGGCAGCAGGCGCGAAAAUUACCCACUCUCAGCACGAGGAGGUAGUGACGAAAAAUAACGAGACCGUUCUCUUAUGAGGCCGGUCAUCGGAAUGGGUACAAUUUAAACCCUUUAACGAGUAUCUAUGAGAGGGCAAGUCUGGUGCCAGCAGCCGCGGUAAUUCCAGCUCUCAAAGUGCAUAGAAUUAUUGCUGCGG